UGUCCUGCUACGGACGUCCCGCCGCCGCUCCCUGUAAAGAAGAAGACGGCGUCUGUACACGAGUCCCCGGGACGCGUCUCUUGCCGCAUCACAUCGAGUCUGGGGAACAACCUCAAUGAUUGGGGGGAACAGGCUCCUGAGAAGCCCCCUCGGCCCCAAGUAUUACUGCAGACCUCUUCCCUCUACCCCCACGCUGACCCCAACGCCAUCAACAUCAACAACAUCAACUCCAACGCUAUCAACAACAACAUCAACGGUUCUCAUUGAUGCCAUCAUUGAUCUCAGUCACGACCUGCUGCUCACCUGACCUGCCAACACUUGCAGGUCACGAUCUACAGGUCACUCUGCAGGUCACGAUCUACAGGUCACUCUGCAGGUUAUAAACCCUGGCAGUUUAUCAUAAGGAAAUAUGAUGUGUUUUGUAUUCCAUAUUCCAUGAAAUAAUGAUAAAUAUAACAAUCUCAAUUCAGUAUCGCUUGCUACAUAAUAAAAUUUUCGUAUCAUCUGUUGAUUCCAACGAUGAUACGGAAUGAUCAAUCAUUCGAUGAUUUAUUUAUUUAGUCUGUUAAGCCCUUCUGUAACGAUUCAUCAUCAAAUAUCAUUAAGCUAGACUGCUAGACUACUGGGAUCGAAUUAACGCCUUGAGUUUGUUGAUGUUCGCCCGUUUAUGAAUGUUGAUUUCAGAAAUAAUUUAAUUGCGCUGUCUUUCAACUUGUCACAAAUUAUGCAUGUCACAAAUUGCCAUUUCUGUGCAUAUCGACGUACCUGCGUUGCUUAGUUACUAUUUAUAUUUGCGUGCGCUGCGAGUACCUCGCUGAAUGUGGUGCCGACGGCUUACUUUAACGAGGCUUCAAUGUUGAACGCGGUGGCGAACCGUGGUCGUAGUGGCGAACCAUCGUCGUGGUGGUGCACCACGGUCGUGGUGGCGAACCAUCGUCGUGAUGGUGAACCAUGGUCGUGGUGGUGAACCAUCGUCGUGGUGGUGAACCAUCGUCGUGGUGGCGAACAAUGGUCGUGAUGGCGGACCAUCGCCGUGGUUGCGCACUGUGGUCGUAGUGGUGAACCAUCGUCCUGACUAACCAUCAUCAUUUGCUGUAUAUUAAUCCUAUGUGCGAUGUGAUUGGUAUGAGGGACCUAAUGUCUUUAUUCAAUUCCUUCUGAAGUUGAAAUUGGAAUAAAUGGUCAAGAUGAUUGAUAUAUUUUGCCUAAGUGAUUCAGUGCCUAUGUAACUUGUUGAACUGAUAAGGAGCUUCAAAAUUUCUUCAUGAAACGUGAUGUAUAAUGUGUGCCUUACUAAUGAAUUUUUUUAUCAUGAAUUUUUUAGGUAGAAUAAGAAAUAUCUUAAAAAUAGAAUGUACAUUAGUGGAUUAGAAAGCAUUUUAAACCUUUGCGCUAGAUGAUAUGCUAGCUCGACCUCGAUUGUUUUGAUUUUCUUUCACAGUGUAUGACUGUAUUUUGUGUAUGUUUUAAUACGUCUUCUCGUGCAUGUGUAAUCGUGACGUUACUGCUUCCGUAGUAAAAA
rnacentral:lncRNA from 1 species